UACGUAGGGUGCAAGCGUUAAUCGGAAUUACUGGGCGUAAAGCGUGCGCAGGCGGUUAUGUAAGACAGUUGUGAAAUCCCCGGGCUCAACCUGGGAACUGCAUCUGUGACUGCAUAGCUAGAGUACGGUAGAGGGGGAUGGAAUUCCGCGUGUAGCAGUGAAAUGCGUAGAUAUGCGGAGGAACACCGGUGGCGAAGGCGGCAUCCUGGACCGGCAUUGGACGCCUGAGGCGCGAAAGCCCAGGGGAGCAAACGGG
rnacentral:rRNA from 1 species